rnacentral:lncRNA from 1 species
CCUAGGAGAACAUGCAGUGUCCUUUGUCCCCGAGCAGAGUGCCUGCUUCUUUUGCUGUACCUACCAUUGACUCUCAGCUAUACCCGGAAAGGCCAAGAGCUGUAGGAAUGUCUUAGACGCUCUGUGACUGACUUUGGAGUUAUCUUUUCUCUGUAGAGUUCAUUCUCAGGGUUUGAGGGAUUUUUUUUGUUGUUGUUGUUGUUGUUGUUUCACUCAUUGUUCCAUGUGGUUCCAGUCCUUCCUUCAGUUUGAGGAGACUUACCAUUGGCAGAUGAAGUGGGGGGAUGAAGAAACAUAACAGAUGCUAAAUGUUUCCUGGCGAGAUUCUCCUCUGAACAGGAAGGGUUUGCCUUUUCAUCACUGAGC